UACAGAGGUCUCAAGCGUUGUUCGGAUUCAUUGGGCGUAAAGGGUGCGUAGGCGGCGCGGUAAGUCGGGUGUGAAAUCUCGGAGCUUAACUCCGAAACUGCAUUCGAUACUGCCGUGCUUGAGGACUGGAGAGGAGACUGGAAUUCACGGUGUAGCAGUGAAAUGCGUAGAUAUCGUAAGGAAGACCAGUGGCGAAGGCGGGUCUCUGGACAGUUCCUGACGCUGAGGCACGAAGGCCAGGGGAGCAAACGGG
rnacentral:rRNA from 1 species